rnacentral:misc_RNA from 1 species
GAUGAAGAACGUAUCGAAAUGCGAUAAGUAAUGUGAAUUGCAGAAUUCAGUGAAUCAUCGAAUCUUUGAACGCACAUUGCGCCCGCGAGUAUUCUCGCGGGCAUGCCUGUCCGAGCGUCAUUUCAACCCUCAGGGCCCGCCUGCUUCGGCAGGCGCGGCGCUGGUGUUGGGGAUCGGCCUAACCGCCGACCCCCAAAUACAGUGGCGGUCUCGCUGCAGCCUCCCCUGCGUAGUAGCAACACUCGCAUGCGGAGCGCGGCGCGGCCACGCCGUAAAACCCCCGACUUUCUGAACGUUGACCUCGGAUCAGGUAGGAAUACCCGCUGAACUUAAGCAUAUCAAUAAGCGGAGGA